rnacentral:rRNA from 1 species
GUUGAACGCUGGCGGCAUGCCUUACACAUGCAAGUCGAACGGCAGCAUGAUCUAGCUUGCUAGAUUGAUGGCGAGUGGCGAACGGGUGAGUAAUACAUCGGAACGUGCCCUGUAGUGGGGGAUAACGUAGCGAAAGCUACGCUAAUACCGCAUACGAUCUAAGGAUGAAAGCGGGGGAUCGCAAGGCCUCGCGCGAUUGGAGCGGCCGAUGGCAGAUUAGGUAGUUGGUAGGGUAGAGGCCUACCAAGCCGACGAUCUGUAGCUGGUCUGAGAGGAGGAUCAGCCACACUGGGACUGAGACACGGCCCAGAUUCCUACGGGAGGCAGCAGUGGGGAAUUUUGGACAAUGGACGCAAGUCUGAUCCAGCCAUUCCGCGUGCAGGAGGAAGGCCCUCGGGUUGUAAACUGCUUUUGUACAGAACGAAAAGGCCCUGGUUAAUACCUAGGGCUCAUGACGGUACUGUAAGAAUAAGCACCGGCUAACUACGUGCCAGCCGCCGCUGUAACAC